AUGGUGUUCUGGCGUGUGUGGCAUGUGCAUAAUGAACUGGCCCAUGAUAAGCCAAUGAUUCCAAUUGAAGCAUCUAAACGAUUUUUGUGUGGAUACAUGGACUAUCUGCUCAUGAUCAAGCACUACCCGCAGGCGGACAUUACCAAUGGAAAAUUCCCGGCUGACCUGAGUGGAUGUAUCACAAUGAGUACUCAUAUGCCAACUCGUUUACUCCCUGUGAUGUCAAAUAGGAGCUCCCUCCAGCGGGACAUAUGGUUGUUCAACUGUCAUGGACCUCUGGAAGCUGAGCUAGCGGCGUGCGAGAAGGGGCUUAGAGUAGCCCUGCACUGGUCCCAAGCGCCGCUACUGGUGGAGACUGAUUGUGCUGAGAUCGUUGCAUUGAUCAAUGCUGGGACAGCUGGCCGGUCAAGGAACAUGCACCAAGCCACCGAAAUCAUCGAGCUGAUCAAGGAACGGCAAGCUCGAUUUCGAAAGAUUAGCCGUGUGCAGAACAAAGCUGAGCAUGUCAUGGCAGCAAUUGGACGCGGACAACAGCGAACAGUAACGGAGAUUAGCAUUAUCCUUGUGGAUGAAUGUAGAGCUGUUAACACUUGA
rnacentral:rRNA from 1 species